rnacentral:rRNA from 1 species
UACGGAGGGGGCUAGCGUUGGUCGGAAUUACUGGGCGUAGAGCGCACGUAGGCGGAUUGUUAAGUCGGGGGUGAAAUCCCGGGGCUCAACCCCGGAACGGCCCUCGAUACUGGCAGUCUUGAGGACGGUAGAGGCUAGUGGAAUGGCGAGUGUAGAGGUGAAAUUCGUAGAUAUUCGCCGGGACACCAGCGGCGAAGGCGACUGGCUGGACCGUUACUGACGCUGAGGUGCGAAAGCGUGGGGAGCAAACAGG